rnacentral:rRNA from 1 species
GUGGGGAAUCUUGCGCAAUGGGCGAAAGCCUGACGCAGCGACGCCGCGUGAGGGACGAAGGCCCUCGGGUUGUAAACCUCUUUCGGCAGGGACGAAGCGAUCGUGACGGUACCUGCAGAAGAAGCCCCGGCUAACUACGUGCCAGCAGCCGCGGUAAGACGUAGGGGGCGAGCGUUGUCCGGAUUCAUUGGGCGUAAAGAGCGCGCAGGCGGUUCGGAAAGUCGGAUGUGAAAACCCGGAGCUCAACUCCGGGCGUGCAUCCGAAACUCCCGGACUAGAGGUAGGUAGGGGAGAUCGGAAUUCCUGGUGUAGCGGUGGAAUGCGCAGAUAUCAGGAGGAACACCGGUGGCGAAGGCGGAUCUCUGGGCCUUACCUGACGCUCAGGCGCGAAAGCUAGGGGAGCGAACAGGAUUAGAUACCCCAGUAGUCC